GGCCGAAUGGCGUAAUGGUAGCGCGUGGUCCUCCUAUGAGAGACUCAGACUGAGGUUGUGGGUUCGAGUCCCAUUUCGGUCG